UGGUCUUUGUUUCUCUUUAAGAAAAGUUGAAAAAAGGUAGAAGGAAGAAGAAAAUUGGAAUAUAACAGCUUUCUUAUGAUUGCCUUUCUUUUUUUUUACAAGCAGCAUUUAUGACUUUCAUCUCAUGAACACAGCCUCAAUAUGAGGUUUUUUAUCAUCUUUUCUUUUCUUUUUUUUUUUGCCAUUAAUUAGCAGACCUUCAUCCUCAUACAUUAAGGUUGAAAGAGCACAGUCGUCUAUUAAUUCAACCCUGACAUUAAUUCUACCACUCGACUCUGCCCUCAAAGCCACUGAACACUCUUCAUUAUUCAUUUCUCACUGAGUAGUAAUGGCUACAGCAUCGCUCCGAAGCCGGCGGAGGCCACAAAUCUUAACAGUAUCAAGAAAAACUAUAACUACCUUUGCUAACAUUCAGAAAAAGGGGGUUUACUAAGCCAUCUACAAGUCUUGAAAGAAGGAUACAGGCACAUAAAUUUGAACGACUUGCUUGUCAAACAGCUUCAUUAAAAUUCUGUGAGCGUCAUCCUCUGUCACAAUGAAAUUCUGAAUGAACUUGUGGCUGUAUUUGUAGACGUAGCCUUACAUUUUUAUCCUCUGUGAUUGUCUGGAGGCCCUACACAGAUUUCAAUAACUGAUGUGAAAAAGGAGCGCAGCGAGAGCAGGCCACAACAAAGGAACAAUUUGACUAGUCACCUUCAGGCCACAUCACGGCAGUUCUCUGGAAGAGUUCUCCAGGUUCUCUGAAGCAACAGCAGACUGGGAGGGUUUUAAACUUUUGGUUUGGUGCUGGGGAAACAAGCGAUGAGUGAGAUAACUAGGAGGGAGGAGAUGACGACAAAGGUCCCCGAGCCACAUUCUGAAUCGGACCCCUCUGGGAACUAACUUCUUGGAGACCCCGCACCUCUUGAAGCCCCAGACCCUGGCGCUGACGGAUAUCCAGGUGGUUGACCGUGAGGGAGGAAGGGCCCGUUAGCAGAUGGACGAUGGACCCUGAAGCCGACAGGGUUAGCGUGAGACGCAGCACAGCUGAAGGGGGCAACAGGGGCUGUCAUCAUCACCGUGACAGCCCAAAAUGGACCCCGAUCCCCAUGCUAAUUACAAUGAAACCAUAGACAGAAUUACAAUGAAAAGAUGUUGAUGACACUGUUGUUUCGUUCUGUAUUGGCCAUUUGUCUGCGUCCGGUUGCUUUUCGCCAUGUAAAGUUUAUUUACAGUAAUAAAAAGGACACACACACAUUCUUAUUGAAGAGACUGGCUUUCUUAAUACCUUUGCCUUGUAAUACAUGUUAAGGAAUAGUCAAGGCGGGAUGAAGGGGCUGGUACGCUCCCUCAGGCAUGUUUUUCGGAUGGUCGAAUAGCUUCAGAAACCCCCUCCAGUCACACCUUCCUGAUGUCGGAGGCUUAAAAUAGUCAAAUCAAGUGGAUAUCUUUCAAAGUUACUGUAUUUUAAAUGCCAAAUUCCGUCUUUAUAUCAUCAAUAGAGAAACACUGUCUGGGGAAACACAACGAGGGAAUUUUAUACUAAAAAUACUAACUGUGGAAGAUAUCUACUAAAUUUGACUAAUUUGGACUGUUGAAGCAUCAAAGUAGCAUCAGAAGAACUUUUAAAUACACUUUUGUACAAAACGAUGUGGAUUUUGUCUCCCGUCACUUAUAUUGUAAGCACAUUUGAUCUUCUAAUGGUUAGUAUGACCAGGAGGAAUGAUUAUGGCAAACAAAGCCUGUUUCAUUGCUCAUAUAGGGACCUGAUGAUUGUUUUAAGACGGAUUUAAUAAGGGCCUAAAGGUAGGUCCUGCUUCAUUACCUAAUAUUUAGGCCCUGUGUUAAAGAGGGUCCUAGUGGAAAAAUCUAGUUUUAAGGCCUUCAUCAUUUCACUUGUGUGCUCAGUGUUGUUUAUACCUAAAUUCAUUAAUGUGUUUUGUAAACCUGGUUUAAGGUAUUAUUCCAGCAUGGAAAAACAGUACACAUUGUACAGAAAGCAGAAGGGACAGGAGCUGAACAGGGGCCCAUCUGGUAAAAGCUUGCCUGAGGCCCCGUAGCCGAUUAAUCUUCUUCCAGAAUUCAUGUGUCGUACAGGCAGA